AGAUGCUUACUAAACUUGACAACGGACUUAAAAUCCGUCGGGAGCAAUCCCAUGCCGGUUCGAGUCCGGCCGCCCGCACCA
rnacentral:tRNA from 1 species